GUUCUCCUGGAAGUUCUUUUGAGUGCGUGUCUGCUCUCGUCCAUGCAGGGAGGACAGUCUUGCGACAAGACACUAACUGCUCAGGCUCAACUCAGCGGGGGAUGUUCCAAACUUUAUGCAAAGGUAGUGUCCCAAAGACCUGGAUGGAGGGAGGAGUGGGAGAGUGAAAUUAACACCGUCACCAACUGUGUCAUUUUGUUACUGGACUGUCAAAAGGGUGGUUCAAAAUGAAUCUGAAACACGCCAAUAAUGCUUUCCAUCUCGGCCUUUGCCCUUGCAGGGCAGCUCCACAGCAAGGAGCCACCUGGCCCCAAACGUCAGCGAUGCCUGUGGCUCCCAGUAUCACCGUUUGGACUCCAAUCAGCAGGAACAUGACGCAAAGCCGAGGGAGUGAAAGGCUGCCAGGUUGAGCGUAUGUUUGGAAAUGUUCCAAAAGAUUUAGUCCAGUUAAUUCAUAAGUAUAUCAAAGAAGAUCUAUACUUUCCAUUCCAUCUAGCUGAUCUACUGCCUGACAGCUUUCCUUCUGGGUCUGACUUGUACAGAUUUUUUUGGAAUUGUAUCACUACUACUGGCUACUUGGGAAUUUCUUUAUUUGCCAUUUUCAUCUGGAGCAAAGUCCUUGCUGUGAGUAUAUUUAAAGUACCUUGUAGGUAAACUUUGACUCAUAAGUA
rnacentral:lncRNA from 1 species